UGAGUCCAGUGUAGACUGGAUAAGAAUCCAGACCGUACUAGUCAAGUGAGUGGAGCGCUGAAUGUUCACACUUACCCUUAAUUAGGGUUAAAUCUCAGAUGUAUAUAUGUACAUGCAAAUAAAACAGAGAAAUACAACACAAUAUAGUGUAAAUCCGUGAAUAGAAGAAAUCUUGUGAUAAUAUAUCAAUAAUCAAACUCACAUGGAUUAGAGCCUCAUAAAAGGACAGGCUCAAAUCUCUUCAACAUUAGUAUC